rnacentral:rRNA from 1 species
UACGUAGGGGGCAAGCGUUGUCCGGAUUUAUUGGGCGUAAAGAGCGUGUAGGCGGCCAUGUAGGUCCGUUGUGAAAACUCGAGGCUCAACCUCGAGACGCCGAUGGAAACCAUGUGGCUAGAGUCCGGAAGAGGAGAGUGGAAUUCCUGGUGUAGCGGUGAAAUGACGCAGAUAUCAGGAGGAACACCCGUGGCGAAAGCGGCUCUCUGGGACGGUACUGACGCUGAGACGCGAAAGCGUGGGGAGCGAACAGG